CUUUGAUUCUUCGGGAUGAAGAGCUUAGUGACUGAGCGGCGGACGGGUGAGUAACGCGUGGGUAACCUGCCUCAUACAGGGGGAUAACAGUUGGAAACGGCUGCUAAUACCGCAUAAGACCACAGCACCGCAUGGUGCAGGGGUAAAAACUCCGGUGGUAUGAGAUGGACCCGCGUUGGAUUAGCUAGUUGGUGAGGUAACGGCCCACCAAGGCGACCGAUCCCCAUAGCCGACCCUUGGAGAGGGUGACCGGCCACAUUGGACUGAGUACACGGCCCAAACGUCCG
rnacentral:rRNA from 1 species